AGGAGAAAAGAAAUAAUUAAUGCGGGGGAAAAUCGUAUCUCGACAAAACAAAGCUUACAGAGAAAAUGUUAAUUAGAAGCGAUGAUGGUAAUGGCGAUUGAGAUAUUGGGAUUUGUUUAUAAACAGAGAGACGAAAGAUAAGGGGGGAACGAGUGAGCUGCUUUCUCUCUCUUACCCCACAGCGCAGAAUCUUAAUUAAGCUCUUUUUUUUCUCCCUUUUGGACUCUUCUUCUUCGUUUCGAUUUCUGUUAGAUUCUUCUAAUCCUCUGAUGAAUCGGUCUGAUCCAUUGCUUCAUCGGUGCGUCUUUUCAUGAUGAGGAAGCAAUGAACACUGUAUACGUGGACAGCUCCAGAACGCUCCGACGUAAAACCACUGUCGAAUAAAUGUUGAGUGUUUGGUUUCUUGUAUGCGGGUUUUAGAAUGCAAAGCAAUGCAAUGCAAUGCAAUGCGCGAGUUGUGGAUGCCUGUGACUGAUUCGUAGUUCUAGAAUUUAAAUUUGUUCUGCGCUAGAGAUAAGAGGUAGUCAGUAUCAUUGUUACCGCAAAGAUUUGGUAGUUUGUUAGGAGUUUCCCAGAUAAAAUAGGGAUUUUGGAAACUGACGUCUAUCUCCCAAGUUCCAGUAAGGGCACCCUCAGGUUUCUUAUCUGAUAAAGUCGUCUGAGCAUUGGUGAUGGGUCUGCCACAGACUGCUUCAAGUGAACUAUCCAAUGAAGCUUCUUCGUCUACGCCAAGUUGCAGCCUUUCUCAGAGUCUGCCUGUCUAUGCCACUUCUCAUGAUUCGGAAAGUGAUGGAGGCAUCUCCUCUUCCAUUGCAGAGUUUGAUAGGAAAACAUCAUUGGAGCCUCUGGAGCUCACUGAUGAUCCGUGUACACUCCGUGGCACUUGUGUUGAAUCCUCAUCUAGUAGUGCUCAUGGAUCCACUAGCUAUGCUGCGGAUAAGGUUAGCUCGAGUCUAGCUGGAGCUAGAAGGAUAGUGGGUUUUGCAUCAAGCCAAACUAGCUCACUGGACAACAUACAAACGAGUGUAGAUAUUGGUGGAGGAGUGUUGGUCAGGAAAAGAGUACUCUCCCCUCUGAACACUCUCUUCCCUGUCAAAUUCAGAGGUGACCCGCUUGAUAUCAGCUCUAGUAACCACCAACAAAUAAAUUAUUCUGGUCUUGCUAAUAGGUUCCGUGAUUCUCUCGCACAAGAUCACUCAAAGUUUAACCUCGCUGGUAGGUUGCAUCUCUCUUCCACCGCUUCAAGCAGUAGCAGAUUCUCGUCCAUGGUCUUCACUGAUGGUCCAUUAUUCGACUCUAUAGACCUCCACCGACCCACAGAAGGUGAGGUUUGCGUAUAUUCACCAGUAUAUGAAACCUCUGGUAUAAAGCCAUUGCCAUGUGAUAAGGAUAUAUCUGUCUCUCCGCCGCUCUCUCUCUCACCACUUGGUCCUAAGUUUUCUGAGAGGAUGAAAGCUCUAAGAAGUGGCCAAAACGGGAAGCUAAUGGAAGAUUUAAGGAACAUCAGUGAAGAAGGAGCAGAACUAAGUGUUGACCGUAGAUUGUUUGAUGAUGCAUAUGCUCUAAGGAGAGCGUUUUCAAUGGAGAGAGGUGUUGAAUUAGCUCCUUCAUCUCCAUGCAGAAGGUUCAUUAGAAGCUUGAGUGGACGCCCCAUUCAGAGGUCAUUGGUUGGUUCUUUUGAGGAGUCACUAUUGACAGGAAGAUUGUCAUGUGGGACAACAAAUCAGAUUGACGGUUUUCUUGCGGUUCUUAGUAUUGCUGGGGGAAACAUAUCUCCAAAAUCACAGAAGCUUCCAUUCUCAGUAACCAGUGCUGGUGAUGAUUGCUUAUUGCUAUAUUAUGCAUCCAUAGAUCUCGCUGGAGGAACUAAGUCGAACAAUUUCUGGAGCCAGAAGUUGAAAACAAGUCCAAUCAGGUUUGAUGGUCAGAGCUCCAAGAACCAACUGCGGAUUCCCAUGAAGGGUCGGAUUCAACUGGUUCUUAGUAAUCCUGAGAAAACACCUCUUCAUACCUUCCUCUGUAACUAUGACUUAACUGAUAUGCCAGCCGGUACAAAGACUAUCUUGCGCCAAAAGGUUACUCUGGGAUCAUCUAAUCCAACUAAAGAAGCAACGCAAGAGAACACCAGAGAAGCCACAAGCUGUGAAAAAGAAAAGUCCAGUAAACAUGGGAACAAAAAAGAAUGUGAAGGAUCUGAUUUGUUAAAUUCAGUGGAAGGAGGAGAUUCGUUACACGAAAGUGGGAAAAGUUGUAUAAAAUCUUCCAAAGAAUGUAACAGCGGUUCUGGUGCUCUACGGUACGCUCUUCAUCUAAGGUUUAUUUGUCCGUUAACCAAGAAAGCUUCAAAGAAACCUGAAGAAACCAAAACUACGGGGCAAAAGAAAGACUUGGAUUCAGACGGGAAGAGGAGAUUCUAUCUGUACAACGACUUGAGAGUCGUGUUUCCUCAACGCCACACAGAUUCCGAUGAAGGAAAGUUGAAUGUGGAGUACCAUUACCCAGACAACCCAAGAUACUUCGACAUCACAGACUAAGACUUUCAAUGCUUUUGUCCCAUUACUGGAACCUAUAAUAAUAGGUACAACAUAACCCAUAGUAUAAUGUAAUUAUGUAAAUAAUCAAAAGCGAGAUCAUCAUUUCAGAGAUCAAACGUCGGAAUUUCAGAAGAGAAACCAUGUGAGGCCUGAUACAACAUCCUUGGCAACAAGUGUCUGUAGGGAUCACUCUCUCUCUUCAUUUUCAAGUAGGCAAUGCAUUGUUCAACCUCAGACUUGACUUGCAAAUGUCGUCUUCUCCAACAACACCAAAUGGGACAAUCUUGGCUCCAAACUUAGAUGCAACUCUCACGAACUCUGGUUUCUCUGGCCAAAACAACUUGUAUUCUUCACCCUGCAAAGUCUCUCUCUCUCUCUACAUGUUUAGAAAAGUCUAGGAACACAAACUUUUAUGAGAGAGAAAGAAAAGCACCUUUCUAUGAAAAGAUUCACGGAUACCACCAGGAUACAAAAGCGCAUGAGACUUUGAUUGCAGUAGUUUGUAGAUAUUGAAGUUGGAGACAGGAACUGCACCCAACAUCUUAUAUUUGUCCAACAUCUGUGGGUCGAUUAACCGAUCAUCUUGGAUGUUCCACAUAAGCAUUGGAUGUGCCAAACCACGCAAGUGAAUGUUUCUCUCUUUCAAGAAUUGAGUUAUCACUGGAACUAUCUCUAGUCCCAAUAACACGUGAUAGCCAACGUAUAGUACAGGCCCUUCUGAAGGUAUACCUUCAAGGCCCCUCACACGUUUACCCUUUGCUAAUGUUGAUAGAUAUACAGGUGAAGUAGCAUCUAUUAAGAGCCUGAAGAACAGAAAAAUUAUCAUUCAGUAUUGGCUAUAACAUUGUAAUUUGAUAGACUGAUUUGUUUUGUUGAGCAUUUUUACUUGUGGUCGUCUACUAGUUGCUUCAACUCAUAUCUGGUAAGCAUAAUGUAAUCUGAAAUGUGAUCAUGAGACUUCCCACGGCGAUAGAAACAAGUGCAUUUGAUGAUAGUAACCAGAUCUACACUGUCCUC